AUUGAACGCUGGCGGCAGGCCUAACACAUGCAAGUCGAGCGAGCGGCGGACGGGUGAGUAAUGUCUGGGAAACUGCCUGAUGGAGGGGGAUAAUUACCGGAAACGGUAGCUAAUACCGCAUACCCUGAGAUGUGCCCAGAUGAGAUUAGCUAGGAGGUGGGGUAACGGCUCACCUAGGCGACGAUCCCUAGCUGGUCUGAGAGGAUGACCGGCCACACUGCAAUGGAGACACGGUCCAUGCUCCAACGGUGGCAAGCAGUGGGGAAUAUUGCACAAUGCGCGCAAGCCUGAGGCAGCCCUGCGGCGUGUGUGAAGAAGGCCUUCGGGGUGUAAGGCACUUUCGGCGUGGAGGCGUUACCCGCAGAAGAAGCACCGGCUCACUCCGUGCCAGCAGCCGCGGUAAUAC
rnacentral:rRNA from 1 species